UACGGGGGGGGCAAGCGUUGUCCGGAAUUACUGGGCGUAAAGAGCUCGUAGGUGGUUUGUCGCGUUGUUCGUGAAAACUCACAACUCAAUUGUGGGCGUGCGGGCGAUACGGGCAGACUGGAGUACUGCAGGGGAGACUGGAAUUCCUGGUGUAGCGGUGGAAUGCGCAGAUAUCAGGAGGAACACCGGUGGCGAAGGCGGGUCUCUGGGCCGAUACUGACGCUGAGGAGCGAAAGCGUGGGGAGCAAACAGG
rnacentral:rRNA from 1 species